AGCUGGUCCGAAGAUGGUGGGUUAUCUCAAUUGAUCAUUCACAGUCAGUUACAGAUGGAAUUCCUUCUUCUGUUUUUCCCCUUCUUACUACUGCACUUGACUAGUCUUCA
ensembl:misc_RNA Y_RNA Y RNA